CCACAGAUACUUUUGGCUGAUCGUAUCUUUUGGUUUCUUAGACCCUAUGGUAUUCACUAUUUGCUUGUUAAUAUUUACACUUGCAUCGGUAUGCAAAUGGUAAAGAUCGUCCAUCAAGAAAGCACAUGCUAUAAGUUUAUUUUUAAAAUAAAUAGAACAUAUAUCUUUAUUGAAAUAAAAAUUAUAAUUAUUCUGUGCCAGUACAGAGAUAGAAAUUAAAUUUCUAUUGGCUACAGGUACAUAGUAAUAAUCUUUCAAAAGCAAACUAAAUCCUAACGAUAGUCGUAGAGGAUAGGUUUCGACAGUCACAGCAACAAUCCUUGCUCCAUUGCCGAUCCAGAGAGUGAUCUCGUCUUUCCUUAGCCCCCUAACUUCUUCAAGAUCCU
rnacentral:lncRNA from 1 species